ACGAACGCUGGCGGCGUGCUUAACACAUGCAAGUCGAACGGUGAAGGGAUCAGCUUGCUGGUUCUGGAUGAGUGGCGAACGGGUGAGUAACACGUGAGUAACCUGCCCCCUUCUUCUGGAUAACCGCAUGAAAGUGUGGCUAAUACGGGAUAUUCUGCGCCUGCUGCAUGGUGGGUGUGGGAAAGAUAUUGUUUCGGUGGGGGAUGGGCUCGCGGCCUAUCAGCUUGUUGGUGGGGUGAUGGCCUACCAAGGCGGUGACGGGUAGCCGGCCUGAGAGGGUGGCCGGUCACACUGGGACUGAGACACGGCCCAGACUCCUACGGGAGGCAGCAGUGGGGAAUAUUGCACAAUGGGCGCAAGCCUGAUGCAGCGACGCCGCGUGAGGGAUGGAGGCCUUCGGGUUGUGAACCUCUUUCGCCAGUGAAGCAGGCCUGUCCCUUGUGGGUGGGUUGACGGUAGCUGGAUAAGAAGCGCCGGCUAACUACGUG
rnacentral:rRNA from 1 species